UUCCAUCCUCGCCCGCGCGCUCCACACGUCCCCGCCGUCGCGCUCGCCUUUCAUCCUCCUCCCCACCCCUCCUUCCAUCCUCGCCCGCGCGCUCCGCACGUCCCCGCCGUCGCGCUCGCCUCCCUCCUCUUUGUUGCCUCCGCGUCGGCCUCCACCCCGCUAUGACGCAAGCAAGGGCGGCGCUUGCCAUGGCAUCGACGGGAACCAGGCAUCACUCUCCCUAUCUCUCGGGUACGCGUUUAUUUCAUCUCUAGGGUCUAGAGUUUAGUAGCGCCGCCGCCAACAUCCCCGCCGUUGCGACAAGCACCGACCGCUCGCUUCCCCCUCCCUCCUCUCGUCGGCGCCAGCGAGCCGCACGCCGUGUGUCGUGUGGGUCGGCUACCCGGGUAUCGGCGCCAGCGAGCCCUCGCCCCCCAUCCCCCUGCCAAUCUCGGCGUCGGCGCGCCGCUCGCCAUCCCCGCAGGCCACGCCCAUGCCCCCCGCCUCCAUAGUCCCUGUCAUCGGCGACCUCAGAUCCAACAGGUUGGUCUGCUUGCGCCGUGAUCGCGGAAGCUACCGCGCCUUCGUCUCCGUGGAUGAGGUCCUGGAUUUGUGUGUCACUGGCGCGGAAUGUGAGCCGCGGUUGGUUAACGAUGUCGGCUUGUGUGUGUGUGUCCGUUCGUCAGGAUGGUACGGGCAGGAGGAUCAGGCCACCGUCGAGGAACGCGCUCUCCGCUGUGUUCCAGCAAGAAGAUGAGGGAUCGAGGGCGGCGCAGGCGGCGAGCUCGUGGGCGGAACAGACUGGUGAGAGCAAGAGGAUGGAUCAGGAGCUUGAGCCCCAGGUAAGCCAUUCUGAAAAUCUGUAUCGCGCUGAUUUACCCGCUUUAGGAUUUGUAGUUGUCGUUCGUUUCUCAAUGCGCUUGGUUAUCGAUACUGCUAUCUCAUGGUCUCAGUUCAGCUGAGUUCACUUAACUAGGACCAGCAUGUGCAGUAGAAAAUCUCUGGUUAAUUAUGGGUCCUUAUAACCUCCGUUCGUUGCUUGAAUUUCUCGUUAUAUGUGGCAUGUUCAUUCAAGUUGUUUACUUACAAUCACAUAAUGCUUGCGGUGUUACAUGGGACAUGCUAAUUUCUUUGGAUGUUAGCAUGUGAACUUGUGAGUCAGUUCAUUGCUCAUUUCAUUGAACCUAUGCUGCCAUGCUGGUGAAGAGACAAUGAAGCAGCCAGUUGGUGUUAUAAACACAAUACACCUCGCUCCCAGCUCCGCAUUCGCCUCCGCCUCAGAUCCCUACAGCGUGAUGCGAGGGAACAGCAACCGUGCGGCCUCCCCAUCCUGAGCACCUCAAAUCCGAUGCCCCUCCCCAAGCCAUUCCCUCGGCCACGACAGCGACGGCAACGAGCAUGGCCCCCCUCUACCACCUAUGCCUUUCCAUUUGUGGCCUCCGCAUCGCCCCAACGUUGACCCCUCCGUCCUCCCCCUCUACUCCCAGCGCAGCGCCGGUUUUAGCUUUGGAAAUUGCUGAUCGAUUAAUUAUGGGGGGAAGCGUCUCUACUUCCUUCUCGGUUGGUCAAGGUAUCCCCUUCCUGUGUCCUCUCUCCUCUGUGUAGAUGGCGAAUUUGUGGAGUCCGAAUAAUCUGAAUGUUCUCGCAUUCUUUACAUAAUCCCUUGCCAAUUUAUGGCAAGUUUUAUUUGCUCCAUUUGUUUUAUGGUAUGAUGAUCUAGAUCUGAUGAGCCCAUUCAAAUUCUUUUGCCGAGCCGCCGUCCCUCUUUUUCUACUGUUUGUUUGUGCAUCGGAAUUGCUGGAUCUAUACCAAAAUCUGAAAAGUGUAGGCCAUACAGAGAAUUAAGAAGUUGUCUUGACCUCACUGGACCCAGAGACUACUCAUCACCAGAGGAAAUGGUACAAAGACUAACAUCAGCUUCUACUGUACUAAGGAGGGUGUUGGAUAAUCCAGCACUCCAGGACUAUCAAGAGAAUAAUGGAUUUGGAGACUUGAAGUUAAGCCUUACUGUUUAGGACUUCACUCUCCCAGUGACACCUACUUUACCUGCUGUUUUUGCUGUAUCCUGGCAAUAUUCCUUUUUACUGUGAUCCAUUUCCAUUUCUGUGAUGUGCUCAACUUUACGUUUGGAUAAAAGUUAGUAAGGUAAAGUAAACACAUUCACAAAUUCAAGUACUGAGAAGAAAAAUUGUACGUUUCAAAGUAGUUGUCCAAGUUAUGCCAACUUGCUUUUAUGUAACGACAGCAAGAAAACUGAUCUAAGACCUGCAUUGUGGUGAAUUUUGCAGCUGUCCGGCCGCGUGUACCGCGUCACCUUCACCAACCGGCUCAACGGGGCCGCAGGCGCGGUGCCGUGAAGCAGAUACGGACCGCCGGGAAACUGUACCUCCACAAGUAAAAUAUUUAUUUAGCCCUCUGUCUUUGUUUUUUUCCAUAUUCUAAGUUUAUACCUAAUAACACAUUUGCACAUACUUGAUGCAUUUGUCUAUGGUAUUUUCUUUUUAUAAAGUGAAUCAUCUUGACAAUGAAAUAGUGCAUUUAUCAGUUUUGUAAUGGGACAUCACUCCUCAAGUAUCCAGAAGGUAAACUAGAUGUAUUUCUCAUACAUCAAUUGGGCAAGUCUGAGAGAUAGCUGUCCCAAUUUGUCCAGAAAUUUAUUUACCUGUACCUCCACAAGUAAAAUAUGUAUUUAGCCCUCUAUCUUUGUUUUUUUCCAUAUUCUAAGUUUAUACCCGAUGUAUAAAUCUACAGAUACUUUCUUACCUUUGUUUAGUUACGAUAAACUUUAUCCAUCAAUUAUUUUGUAUACUUUUCUAACCUAUGUAAAUUUAGAGGUUAAUUUGGACUGUUUAAUAUUUAAAUGUUGUGGGUGGAUUAAGGGGUUAUUUAGUGUUUUAAGUACAAACAGAGGAGGACAAUUCAUGCACAUACUUUAGCUUUUUAUUGCAAUGAUAGAUAAUUUAUAUGAAGUUUAGGACUUAUUUUGGAUAUAAUAUGUCAGAAUGACAGAGAUUCACCUGAUAGGCGAGCAUGAGUUCUCGCUAAAAUGUAGCAUUGAGUAUUGACUGCAGUUCAGUAAGUAAAUUAAAGCAUGAUAGUAUUGUUGAUCCAGUGAACCCUUCAUCCUAUAUUCUCUUUGAGCUAAUCUUCUUGCACCUUGAUGUAAACCUUGACAUAUCUGAUGGUUCUGCUCAGUGCUUGUGUCUUAGAUUAUUGCACUGACGUAAUUGGAAAAUGAGUAAUCUGCCAGGAAGCAACAUAUUGUGUUUUACUGAAGUACAGUUAGUCCUGCUGUCGCACAACUUUGCUCUGAUGUUUGAAAGCAUAAAGUAUGUUUUCCUACCAUGGGAGAGGUCCAACUGAUAUUGCAUCUGGAUCUUUUGUGAAACAUGAUAGCACUUAGCAACGCUAGGCAGAAGAUGCACUUUUGAAAUGUAGUGUUGCACCGUUGCUGUCGCAAUCGUUAGUUACACAUAUGUUCUCUAUAUGCUGUCAGAUAUCCAUAUCUCUUAAUGGUCGUACCUACCAAUUUGAUUCUGAUAAAAAUCAAUCAAUCUAUUAGUUACAGAACAAGCAGAGAACUCACUGUACACGGUCUCUUCUUGUACUGAACUGGUAUUCAACUUCAUUCAAAGAGUUCUGGUAAAGUAUAAAUUGUGCUAGAACUUUUGAGCUCCUUAAUUUUCAUGUAGUAUUUUUGUUACUUGAUUUUUCGCCUAUCUUGCAAUAGCAACUUUAACACUGAAAAAGAUUGCUUAUGGCCACUGGCAAGUAUGAAUUGAUCAAAUUCUCAAAACAUAUCAUUUGCUGAUUUGAUGAAGCACGAUUCUUACCUUAUUUGUAUCUAAUUUGUUACAUUCACUGUUUACAGCUUCUCUUGUAACAUUGGAUAUAAUGACGCUGCUACAUGACUAUUAUUUUGACAUCAUAACCUACAUAUAAAGAUUAGAGACUAAUCUGUUUUUUUUCUGAACUAAGGUGUUAACACAUUUCCAAAUAUCGAACAUCUAUCUUUUAGUAUGCAAGCAUUUUAGUUUCUCAGAGGUAUACUGUUCCCCAUCUCUGUAUUUUAUUUCAUCCACUGCCCUUGCUAAUUUGUAGGAAAUGAACUUCCAUCAGACUUGAUAGACACACUACUAAAGUGGAUCCCAAGCAAUGAUGAGGAGCUUAGGCUUCGACUGUCCUCCCGUAGCACCGCCACACCGCACGCGUCCGUGGCGGUGUAUGUGUCCUGUUUGAGCUUCGCGAGCUUGUAGAAGGCACAUUUCUGUCCCUACGUUUUACUUGUUUAAUUUGUUUUUUUUCAGCGAACAUGCAUUUUGGAGAGACCAACUUGAAUGUGCGGAGCAGUCGAUCACACAAUAUUUUCAUAAUGGUAUAGAAUUCUGAAUUCCUAAGCAAUUUUGUAAUUGCAGCUGUUCUAAGACCAUUUUUGUAGUUGAAUGGAAGCGAUAACUAAAUCAAGGAUGUUCUAUUUAUAUCGGUCUCAGGUAAUUGUGAGCAGCAGUAGAGACUAAGCAGUUCUGUAAUUGCAUUUGUUCUAAGAUCAUUUUCUGUAGUUGCAUGGAAGCAAUAACUGAAUCAAGAAUGCUCUAUUUAUUUCGAUCUCAGCCAUUUUGGAGGACGAACGAGCACCGGGGAGAGUCCAGGAGGAGGCAGAUACUGCUGGGACAUGUCCAAGCCAGUGGAGAUGCAGUGGAGAUGGAGAUCAACAUUGGCAUGGAGAAGCUGUGAAACCCACCGCAGCAGAACCCCACCCAGAGGAAGUGGCCUCGCGUCUCGUAAGAGUGGCAGACAGUGAUCGGCGGGUUCUUUGCGACACGGGCUGCUCUUCGACCAUGAGCUUCUUGUUACUAUUCCCCCGCGACAUUUGUUUGGCAUUUCUGUUAACGAUUUUCUUUGUUUAUAUUACACUAAAGUCAAAGCCUGAAGCCACGUCGGCAACUGGAUCUACCAUUAUGACAUAAGCAGAAAUCUAAAUAACACAAAAAAAUCAGGAUUACUAUAUAUUUGUGCACAAAGCCACGAAGAAUUGCAUGAAUUGUGGACAAAGCUGAAAUUCAAGGAUGCUGAAAGCCUGCAGCAGACUUCUGACAUGGAGAGUGUGAAUCUUCUCCAAAGUGGGGGGCCAUGAGAUCAAUGUUGCCUCGGAUCAAUCACAAACAAGGUUGUCUGGAUACACUUCAGUUCCAUAUACAAGCUUCCCUGCCCAGGCAGAGCUAACUGUUGUAGGUUGCAGCAAAGGAUUGGAUGCAAAAGGGCGCUGGACACGUGCUCGUGUGGCCCAAGUGAGCAUGCUAAUCAGCCCCUUUUGGUUCCUUGCACAGCUUACGUUCAAUCUGUCUCUAAGAUACACCACUGUCACGGUAAGUGUUACUAAGAACUGAAUGAUACUUCCAUAUUUUAAAGCCAAACCUGGCCCAGGCACCACCCAGGCACCAGAGGCCUCCAAACGGUCAAGGAUACACCACUGUCACGGUCAAGUCCUGCAGAAGCUGAAACUGAUCAUGGAUAAGACUUUGCCUUGUGUCACAAUGGGUGCAUUUGCUGGUGGUCCUUGGAUCAGGUUGCUCAUGGGUGGUGAAUGAUCUGACGACUUCAGAAGAGGAUAGAUCUGAGAUUACCUUUCAUGCAUGUCAAGGAAGUUAAGUAGCUGAUGCCAUCAAAGAAAUGGAGAAACGUCAGGUGAACCGCGAGCAGAAUUCCGUGGCGCAUUUGUUAGCGCAGUUAGUUAGGACUCUGUUCAUACAGCUGUUCGAUUAAGCCAAAUACCUGAUUUAGUUUUAUAUUGGUUGUUGUCAAAGAAUUUGUGAAAUAUUGAGGUUGAUAAUAUAUGUGGCGUUCGUUUUUAUGUAAUCAUUGUUCACUAAUA